rnacentral:rRNA from 1 species
UGUAAGCGUAUACCAAAGUUGUUGCAGUUAAAACGCUCGUAGUCGGACGUUGGCGGGCGUCGCAAGUCGGCCGAAAGGUUGUUCUUGAGGCGGCCGCCUUUGUGGAGGGGGGCUUUGUGGUGCUUUAUUGCCAUCAUGGAGUCGCUGCCACCGUUUACUGUGAAAAAAUUAGAGUGUUCAAAGCGGGCGUUUGCCAUGAAUACAUUAGCAUGGAAUAAUAGAAUAGGACCUGGUCCUGUUUUGUUGGUUUGUGAGUAUCAGGUAAUGAUUAAGAGGGACGGUUGGGGGCAUUUGUAUUCCGACGUUAGAGGUGAAAUUCUUGGAUCGUCGGAAGACAAACAGCUGCGAAAGCGUCUGCCAAGGACGUUUUCAUUGA